rnacentral:rRNA from 1 species
CGCCCGCCGCGCGCGGCGGGCGGGGCGGGGGCACGGGGGGUAAGCCAUGCGAGUCGAACGAGUUUAGGCUCGUGGCGUACGGCUCAGUAACACGUGGAUAAUCUACCCUUAGGACCGGGAUAACCCUGGGAAACUGGGGAUAAUACUGGAUAGGCAAUUAUUCCUGUAAUGGUUUUUUGUUUAAAUGUUUUUUCGCCUAAGGAUGAGUCUGCGGCCGAUUAGGUAGUUGGCUAGGUAAUGGCUUACCAAGCCGUUGAUCGGUACGGGUUGUGAGAGCAAGAGCCCGGAGAUGGAACCUGAGACAAGGUUCCAGGCCCUACGGGGUGCAGCAGGCGCGAAACCUCCGCAAUGUGAGAAAUCGCGACGGGGGGAUCCCAAGUGCCAUUCUUAACGGGAUGGCUUUUCAUUAGUGUAAAGAGCUUUUGGAAUAAGAGCUGGGCAAGACCGGUGCCAGCCACCGCGGUAACACCGGCAGCUCUAGUGGUAACAAUUUUUAUUGGGCCUAAAGCGUCCGUAGCCGGUUUAAUAAGUCUCUGGUGAAAUCCUGCAGCUUAACUGUGGGAAUUGCUGGAGAUACUAUUAGACUUGAGACCGGGAGAGGUUAGAGGUACUCCCAGGGUAGAGGUGAAAUUCUGUAAUCCUGGGAGGACCGCCUGUUGCGAAGGCGUCUAACUGGAACGGUUCUGACGGUGAGGGACGAAAGUUAGGGGCGCGAACCGGAUUAGAUACCCGGGUAGUCCUAACUGUAAACGAUGCGGACUUGGUGUUGGGGUGGCUUUGAGCUGCUUCAGUGCCGAAGGGAAGCUGUUAAGUCCGCCGCCUGGGAAGUACGGUCGCAAGACUG